GCUUUUAGUCAAAUGUGGUUUUAUAAUAAUUCGUCUAAAAGAUGCACGGCGCUUACUUCCGAAGGCUGUAAACCUGGAACAAGAUACUUUCCUAACAUCAGCGAUUGCAACCGGCACUGCCGUGACCCCAUUUAUGGCAGGUGCGCUACGAAACGCUUACGCCUAAAAAGAUGCUUACAACAACAACUGAAAGUCCGCUUCAACCCAGACAACCAAAGUUGCGAAUGGUACCCGACAGGUUGCGGCCGGGAGAAACAUUCGUUCGAUAAUAUGAACGAGUGUUACGAGGAAUGUGGAAAAUUUGUUAC